CGUUUUUUAUGUAAAGUAAUAUGACGGGAGCUUCAUCUCUCCAACAUAAACCCCGUUCCUGGUGUUGAUCCGAGAAGAUAAAUGUAAAAAUGGAGAGCUACGUGACUUGAAACACGUAACAGAUCGAGCUCCAACAGUUUAAUUACGCGUCCUGAUGUUGCGCUUUAAAGCCGACGGAUCAAACGGCCGUCGCCGUUCCUCUCGUCCCUCUAAUCCACGCAUGAAAGGCGAACAUUGCACUUAAAACACGUCUAAAAUGUCACUUCCUCACCUCGCCGAGCAUCGCUGAUACGCGCCGAUAACUCCAGCGUAGCUGUGAUACGGAUCUUUAAUUAAAUUUCCACUGUCUAAAAACUCAUCUCUGAUGCUCUCUUAAUAAGGUUUAAUCUAUAAUUAUGUCAAUAAAUAUAUUCAUAUAUAAUACACAUGAUCGUUUAUCAAAUCUUAGAAAUAUCUGACACGUUUUUACGCUGAUGUUUUUGUCGUUAAAAUUGUAACUGUAAAAAAAAAAAAUCGCAUUUUUAAUUAAAAGUUCGUUAAAAUAAUGCUUUGAUUAUGGGUUGUUGUUUGUUUUGCAUUUCCGCGUCAUUUCGAGAGAGAAAAAACAACAACAGGAGGUUAUUGCUAGGUUAAAGCUAAUAAAGCUAACGACUUUUGUUAGCUAACUCCACAUUUAACUUAGCAAUUUGAAUUUUUUUUUUAAAUGCUAGGCGUACAGUUAAACUUCCCACGAUGGCACUUGUGAGCGUAGCGUGUUAGCUGUAUUUAUGCUAGCACUUUACAUGUAGUAUAUGGGUUGUUGUUUUUUUUUAAACUUUUGCUAGCACAUUCAUAUUUGUAACUUUUUGUUUAUAGUCUUUUGUGCUAAUCGCAUGCUAGCUAUACGAUUUCAUGUCAGGAUUUUUUUUUUUGUACUUUCACUACGUUUGCUUCGAGCUUGAUAACGACAUUCAUUCCUUCACGAGUUUCAUUUGGUUUCAGGUUAUACGCCUGCUGAGAUUCGGUUUAAAAUUAGCAGCAGUUUCGUUCGGCUAGUAGCUUCCUGACGCGAUUCCCUUUGCGCUAGUAAUUUGCUAGCUACCUUUAAUUGCUAGCAGCAGAAUGUUUUUGGGUUGUUUUUUGGGGGGUUUUUUUGCUAGUAGCUGCUCAUAAUAUACUUUACUUUGUGCUUGUAGUGUUCUCGCUGUGUUUUAUUUGACCUUUAUUUAUUAUUCAAUCUAUUUACUCUAGGAAGAUUGUUCUAGAUACGUAUGCUAGUAAUGGCACGGUUUUGUUUGUGUAGUGCUAAUUAUUAGUUUUAUUAUUUUUACUGGAUAAUCUAGUGUUUUAAAUGAUUUUUUCCGAGGUGACUGUACUGUUACAGUUAGCAUAGCACUUCAUUACGAGUUUCUGGUCAGUCCUGCGCAGGCUGCCCGGGUUGUGUCGGUGAUUGGGUUACGUUGUAGGUGACACUAAGCUCGGUUAGUCAUCGCGGUGACCUCUUCCUCCUCCUCCUCCUCCUCCUCGUAAGCAGAGUAGCCUAGCAGGAAUAAUUUAUAAGCAGCACCUCCGCACUUCAAUUUAGCUUCAUCUCCUGAGCAGGGCCCCAGGGCUCGACUCAACAAAGCAACAACGGCCGCUGAACUUUUGAUCCGAUGAAUUCUUAAUGACAGAUUUGAUUACAAACACGGCCUCGUAUUAGAUGAGUUCAGUGUCUGGCUGCGAAAAGGGCGACCGCCAGCAACGUGGCACAGACAUGACACUGGCAUUUCUGCUGUUAGCAUCACGCUAAUCACUAAUCACUUCACACAAAGGCACUUGCUAACAUUUACAUCAGACCUGAAUUCACACGUACAGUUAGCUGUUUUAUUAUUAUUUUUUAAACCACCACCGCAAGGUUUCAAGCUAAUUAUUUUAACACGUCAAUCAAUUCGCACUCAGCCAGCUCAUCUUUAACGUACCGUUUCCUAUUGUGCCUCAUGCUAAUCGCUAAUCACUUCACACAUUUCUACCAGACACUGAGAAAUCCGCAUAAAAUCGUGCUAAUCGCUAAUCACAGCCGUUAUGAAAACCACACCAAGAUGCUUUUUUUUUUUAAAAACAAACAGUUCUUUUUGCUCUUUUUCACUUCGCUAGUCGCUAACAACCAUGACGUAUUUAUAACUAAUUCUUUACCUUUAGAGUCCAACCCAUUGCUCCAGGUUCAUGCUAACUGCUAAUCAUUUCCCUCUCAGCUGUGAUUAAAAAUCUAUUAAGAGUUACAAUCCAAACCGUUGCGCUAAUCACUCUAAUCUCCUCACACUUAUCUGUCAUUCAUUAACAUUUAUAGGUCGACCCCUUGCUAAGCGCUAAUCGUUUCACUAGCUGUUAUAUAAAAAAAAAGACACCAUAUUAAUGAUCAAUUUAACUUUAAAGUCCAAACCAUCAUGCUAAUCGAUCAUGCUAAGCGCUAACCACCUCACACUCUGCUGUUAUGAGAAACAUCACGUUUGAGGCUAAUUCUUUCACAUUUAAAGUCUGACCCUUUGCUAAUCGCUAAUCCUUUAAUUUCACUGACUAGCUGUUAUUUAAAACACACACACACACACACACACACACACACACACACACACACACACAUACAUACCUACCGAGCUAAUGAUAAAUUUCUGCUGUUCUAUAACAAAUCAGACCAUCUUCAAAACUAAUUCUUUAACAUGUAUAGUCCAACUCUUUGCUAAUCGCUAAUCACUUCACCCUUGAUUAGCUGUUAUAGAAACUGCCCCAUGUUUAAGGCUAAUUCUUUACCACAGCCCAAACUUUUACCCAGCCUCAUGCUAACAAUAUAACCCUCAACUAGCUGUUCUAAAAAAAAAAAAAUGUUUAUCCCACCAUGUUUAAGGCUAAUUCUUUAACAUUUAGAGCUCAAGCCCUUGCUAAUCGCUAAUCACGUCACGCUCAAAAAUCUGUUAUGAAAACUACUCCAUGUUUGUUUGAUUUUUAAGUAUAAACAUUUAGAGUCCACACCAUUGUGCUAAUCUCUUAGCAUGAUUGCUAAUCCCUUCAGACUAAGUUGUUAUUAAACAAAAAAACACUCCAUGUUUAUAGUAUUUUAUUUGAACAUUUAAAACUCCAACCUAUAGCUAAUAUUUUUAAUAAUAUUAACCAAGUUAUUGAGUUUGUUGUGUUGAUUUUAUUUGGUUUUUGUUGCAGUGGUGAUGACAAACAAAGGCUGAAAAUGUCCUUAGUUAGCCGUGUUAGUUGGAUUAGCCAAUGAGGCGGCUCCUGUAAUUGGCUCGUUAGCUUUGCUGUGCAUCCAGCUGUGACGAGAUCUACUGAUGUAGGAUGUGUUGGGCAAGCAAGGCACUGGGCGAGUUAGCAACUUAACACUCCUUCAUCUUGGAUGAUGUGAUGUGAUUACAGAGGUGACGGGGAACCGGAGGCUCGGAAAGAGUCGGAGGAAACUUCUCGAGUGGAGAAAGUAAGAAGGAAAGAAAGAAAGAACCGAAGAAAAGGAAGACUCUGCGAGGCCGUUGAUGUUAUAAUAACGAUGCUGAGGCUGAAACGAUAAGAAAUUGUGAAUGAGAC
ensembl:lncRNA